GCUCUGGAUUAGGCUUUGGCUUAAGGGAAUGUUCUGGCUGGUUUGAUCUUCUAUCCAGACCACUAAUAUGUUCUCUAUAUCAGC
rnacentral:pre_miRNA from 1 species